rnacentral:rRNA from 1 species
GACGAACGCUGGCGGCGUGCUUAACACAUGCAAGUCGAACGAUGAAGCCUUCGGGUGGAUUAGUGGCGAACGGGUGAGUAACACGUGGGCAAUCUGCCCUGUACUUUGGGAUAAGCCUUGGAAACGGGGUCUAAUACCGGAUAUCACUUCUGACCGCAUGGUUGGUUGUUGAAAGUUCUGGCGGUACAGGAUGAGCCCGCGGCCUAUCAGCUUGUUGGUGGGGUAAUGGCCUACCAAGGCGACGACGGGUAGCCGGCCUGAGAGGGUGACCGGCCACACUGGGACUGAGACACGGCCCAGACUCCUACGGGAGGCAGCAGUGGGGAAUAUUGCACAAUGGGCGAAAGCCUGAUGCAGCGACGCCGCGUGAGGGAUGAC